GAUGAACGCUGGCGGCGUGCCUAAUACAUGCAAGUCGAGCGAACAGACGCGGAGCUUGCUCCUCUGACGUUAGCGUCGGACGGGUGAGUAACACUUGGAUAACCUACCUAUAAGACUUGGAUAACUUCGGGAAACCGGAGCUAAUACCGGAUAAUAUAUUGAUCCGCAUUGUUCAAUAGUUAAAGACGGUUUUGCUGUCACUUAUAGAUGGAUGCGCGCCGCAUUAUCUAGUUGGUAAGGUAACGGCUUACCAAGGCAACGAUGCGUAACCUACCUGAGAGGGAGAGCGGACACAGUGGAAGUGAGACACGGCCGAGACUCACACGGGAGGCAGCAAGAGGGAAUUCUGCGAAAUGGGAGAAAGCCAGACGGAGAAACGGCGCGUGAGAGGAGAAGGUCCGCGGAGCGUAAAACGCUGUUAAGAGAAAAGAACAAAUGUGUAAGUAAAGAUGAACGACUGGACGGUACCUAAUAAGAAGCCACGGCUAACUACGUG
rnacentral:rRNA from 1 species